rnacentral:rRNA from 1 species
GGGUGAGUAACGCGUGGGAACGUACCUUUUGGUUCGGAACAACUGAGGGAAACUUCAGCUAAUACCGGAUAAGCCCUUACGGGGAAAGAUUUAUCGCCGAAAGAUCGGCCCGCGUCUGAUUAGCUAGUUGGUGAGGUAAUGGCUCACCAAGGCGACGAUCAGUAGCUGGUCUGAGAGGAUGAUCAGCCACAUUGGGACUGAGACACGGCCCAAACUCCUACGGGAGGCAGCAGUGGGGAAUAUUGGACAAUGGGCGCAAGCCUGAUCCAGCCAUGCCGCGUGAGUGAUGAAGGCCCUAGGGUUGUAAAGCUCUUUUGUGCGGGAAGAUAAUGACGGUACCGCAAGAAUAAGCCCCGGCUAACUUCGUGCCAGCAGCCGCGGUAAUACGAAGGGGGCUAGCGUUGCUCGGAAUCACUGGGCGUAAAGGGUGCGUAGGCGGGUCUUUAAGUCAGGGGUGAAAUCCUGGAGCUCAACUCCAGAACUGCCUUUGAUACUGAAGAUCUUGAGU